rnacentral:rRNA from 1 species
UACGGGGGGGGCAAGCGUUGUUCGGAAUUACUGGGCGUAAAGGGCUCGUAGGCGGCCAACUAAGUCAAACGUGAAAUCCCUCGGCUUAACCGGGGAACUGCGUCUGAUACUGGAUGGCUUGAGUUUGGGAGAGGGAUGCGGAAUUCCAGGUGUAGCGGUGAAAUGCGUAGAUAUCUGGAGGAACACCUGUGGCGAAGGCGGCCCCCUGGUUGGAUACUGACGCUGAGACGCGAAAGCGUGGGGAGCAAACAGG